AUCAAACACUGCCAGGUGCAGUGCUAUAUGCCUAACCUGAAUCUUCCCGGCAGAUGGGGGCCUAAACUCGAAAGCAUGCAGCUGAGGAUGAAGGCCAUGAUAGUCUGUUUUUCAUCAAAGGCUUGAGAUCACAGCAGCAGCAUGGAGCUGGAAGAACAAAAGAAGUUUGGGGCUCUGAAACAAACUGGGAGGGUAAGACAAAAGUGCAGCUGAAGAACUUGGAGAGCCGCUUGAGAAGGAGGAAAAGAUCAGGGAAGGAGGAAGUACACGUCCCCAUGCAGGGGAUGUGGAGUUGCACUCUCAUCUUGUGUGCUGCAGGAAGAGCAUCCAGCUCCAAAGCUUAUACACCAUGGGCAAGACGAAGGAAAAUUCCAGUUCUGAAUUUGCAGCCAGAAUUCAGGAACCAGAGGAAGGCGCUCAGGAGGUCAUACCUUUCAGAGGUGCUCCAGCCCUUAUGGUCACGUUGAUGAGGUGCUGAUGGAGAGGUGGCCAUGUCACACUGCUGCCUGGGCCAGGAGCAUCCUACAGGUUUACACCAAUGCAAAUUGCUCAUCUAGGACGGGUGUUUGGUUUUUGUUUUUUUCUGUGGAAAAAC
rnacentral:lncRNA from 1 species